AGUGAACGCUGGCGGUAGGCCUAACACAUGCAAGUCGAACGGCAGCACAGUAAGAGCUUGCUCUUACGGGUGGCGAGUGGCGGACGGGUGAGGAAUACAUCGGAAUCUACUUUUUCGUGGGGGAUAACGUAGGGAAACUUACGCUAAUACCGCAUACGACCUACGGGUGAAAGCAGGGGAUCUUCGGACCUUGCGCGAUUGAAUGAGCCGAUGUCGGAUUAGCUAGUUGGCGGGCUAAAGGCCCACCAAGGCGACGAUCCGUAACUGGUCUGAGAGGCUGAUCAGCCAGACUAGGACUGAGACACGGUCCAGACUCUUACGGGAGGCAGCAGUGGGGAAUAUUGGCCAAUGGGCGCAAGCCGGAUCCAGCCAUACCGCGUUGGUGAAGAUGGACUUCUAGUUGUAAAGCCCUUUUGUUGGGAAAGAAAAGCAGCAGGUUAAUACCCCGCUGUUCUGACGGUACCCAAAGAAUAAGCACCGGCUAACUUCGUG
rnacentral:rRNA from 1 species